rnacentral:rRNA from 1 species
CCUACGGGUGGCAGCAGUGAGGAAUAUUGGUCAAUGGGCGGGAGCCUGAACCAGCCAAGCCGCGUGAGGGAAGAAGGUACCGCGUAUCGUAAACCUCUUUUGUCAGGGAACAAAGUCAGGCACUCGUCCCCGGCUGAGGGUACCUGAAGAAAAAGCAUCGGCUAACUCCGUGCCAGCAGCCGCGGUAAUACGGAGGAUGCGAGCGUUAUCCGGAUUUAUUGGGUUUAAAGGGUGCGUAGGCUGUGGGGUAAGUCAGCGGUGAAAUGCCCCGGCUCAACGGGGUGAAGUGCCAUUGAUACUGGCUGGCUGGAAUGGGGGAGAGGUGGGAGGAAUGUGUGGUGUAGCGGUGAAAUGCAUAGAUAUCACACAGAACACCGAUUGCGAAGGCAUCUCACG